rnacentral:rRNA from 1 species
AGGUAGCGUAAUCAUUUGUCUUUUAAAUAGAGACCUGUAUGAAUGGCAUAACGAGGGUUUAACUGUCUCCCUCCCCUAGUCAAUGAAAUUGAUCUGCCCGUGCAGAAGCGGACAUAAAUACAUAAGACGAGAAGACCCUAUGGAGCUUUAGACAAAAGAUCAAACAUGUAAAGAAACCAAAUCAACCAAAAGGAACACAAAGGCCACAAAACCCAACGUAAAAUGAUCCAAAUGUCUUCGGUUGGGGCGACCAUGGGGGAAAGAAAAACCCCCACGAGGAACUAGGGGCAAUCCAUUAAGCCAAGAGAUACACCUCUAAGCAACAGAAAAUCUGACCAAAAAUGACCCAGGACACUAAUCCUGAUCAACGAACCAAGUUACCCUAGGGAUAACAGCGCAAUCCUUUCCCAGAGUCCAUAUCGACGAAAGGGUUUACGACCUCGAUGUUGGAUCAGGACAUCCUAAUGGUGCAGCCGCUAUUAAGGGUUCGUUUGUUCAACGAUUAACAGUCCUACG